rnacentral:rRNA from 1 species
AACGAACGCUGGCGGCAGGCCUAACACAUGCAAGUCGAGCGAACCCUUCGGGGUUAGCGGCGGACGGGUUAGUAACGCGUGGGAAUAUACCCUUUGGUACGGAAUAGCCUCGGGAAACUGAGAGUAAUACCGUAUGUGCCCUUCGGGGAAAGAUUUAUCGCCAAAGGAUUAGCCCGCGUUGGAUUAGAUAGUUGGUGGGGUAAUGGCCUACCAAGUCUACGAUCCAUAGCUGGUUUGAGAGGAUGAUCAGCAACACUGGGACUGAGACACGGCCCAGACUCCUACGGGAGGCAGCAGUGGGGAAUCUUAGACAAUGGGCGCAAGCCUGAUCUAGCCAUGCCGCGUGGACGAUGAAGGCCUUAGGGUUGUAAAGUCCUUUCAGAUGGGAAGAUAAUGACGGUACCAUCAGAAGAAGACCCGGCUAACUCCGUG